rnacentral:lncRNA from 1 species
CAGAAUAUCCCCUCCCACCCCAAAUCCUAUCAUCCUAAACCGAAAGUGAAAGACAAAGACCCAAGUGAAAAUGUCCUUACCCUCAAGGGGUUUAUAUUCUGACAAGGGAGACAAUGAGGGAAUAUAUAGAAAUAUAAAAGACACAAAUCAAUGAGAUCGAGAUCAUACAAGUCAACCUCAAAGGGAAAGAAAUUCUGUCUCGAUUACCUGCCUCCAUCUGGAAUGAAAAUCGAUUCGUCUUAAGGGCCUGGGCUCUCUCCAUUAGUAUUAUAGCAUUUCUCUUGCUGAUUUUCUUGUUUGAUGGAAGGCUGGCUGUCGUUGAAGUGUUAGAAAAUCACAAAGAAGCCCUGGGCUACUGGACCAACUGUCAGUAUUACUCCUGCCCAAACCUAGGCAAGGUUACAGUGAAUAAACACCUGGGAAUGGGCUUCAUGAUCCUUGCCCUGGGCUCUGAGAUCUUCUGCCUCCUCUUCAUGGGCUUCUCUUUCCGGCCCAUCUUCCGAAGAAUCGUUCGCUGUGAUUUGGUCUUUGGUAUCCUCAACUUUACUACUGGUAGGAUGGACCUGGGAUCAGGCCUGAGGUGCAGAUGAAGAGAGGAGAUGGGAUUGGACCAGGGUGGGAACAGGGAAUUACACCUAAGAGGGG